rnacentral:rRNA from 1 species
UACGUAGGGUGCGAGCGUUAAUCGGAAUUACUGGGCGUAAAGCGUGCGCAGGCGGUUUUGUAAGCCAGAUGUGAAAUCCCCGGGCUUAACCUGGGAAUGGCAUUUGGGACUGCAAGGCUUGAGUGCGGCAGAGGAGACUGGAAUUCCUGGUGUAGCAGUGAAAUGCGUAGAUAUCAGGAGGAAUACCGAUGGCGAAGGCAGGUCUCUGGGCUGACACUGACGCUCAUGCACGAAAGCGUGGGAGCAAACAGGAU